UUGCUUCCAUUUUUUGAGUGUCAAGAGGUCAUCCUGUCAUUCGGCAGAAUAUGGAGACUUCAUCUAAAAUUGAAAAAUGAAAAUGAACUUUGAGGAAACUUUUGUUUUGCUAAUAAAUCACUAUUUCUUAGGCAGAAUGUCAGCCCCUUUGAUUCACACACCACCUUCAAGGUCAUUAGAAAUGUCCUUGACCAGCAAUGGAGAAGAAAGAGAAGGUACCGCAGUUUCGAUGGUCGUGGGACUCAGGUUUUCUCUCAGCACUGCGUAUACGCUUGGAGACAUGGGAAGAAGGUCUGAUGGAGACUGUGGCUCAGUGGAAUCGCUUCGGCUUAAAGAGAGAACAAGUUAUAGAAGUGAAGUCAGAACCAUGCCCAUUUUAGGAAAGAGAAAACCAAAACUCUACAAGUGACUGUGAGAGGCCC